rnacentral:rRNA from 1 species
CGGCAGCACGGGGGCAACCCUGGUGGCGAGUGGCGAACGGGUGAGUAAUACAUCGGAACGUGUCCUGUAGUGGGGGAUAGCCCGGCGAAAGCCGGAUUAAUACCGCAUACGCUCUACGGAGGAAAGGGGGGGAUCUCAGGACCUCUCGUUAUAGGGGCGGCCGAUGGCAGAUUAGCUAGUUGGUGGGGUAAAGGCCUACCAAGGCGACGAUCUGUAGCUGGUCUGAGAGGACGACCAGCCACACUGGGACUGAGACACGGCCCAGACUCCUACGGGAGGCAGCAGUGGGGAAUUUUGGACAAUGGGCGCAAGCCUGAUCCAGCAAUGCCGCGUGUGUGAAGAAGGCCUUCGGGUUGUAAAGCACUUUUGUCCGGAAAGAAAUCCUUUGAGCUAAUACCUCGGGGGGAUGACGGUACCGGAAGAAUAAGCACCGGCUAACUACGUGCCAGCAGCCGCGGUAAUACGUAGGGUGCAAGCGUUAAUCGGAAUUACUGGGCGUAAAGCGUGCGCAGGCGGUUCGCUAAGACAGAUGUGAAAUCCCCGGGCUUAACCUG